rnacentral:misc_RNA from 1 species
UGGCCAAUGCAACUACGAGGUCGCCUUAUUUUUAUGUCAGAAUCAUAAACUGAGCUUCCUAUUCGUGGAACUCCAGUUUGAUAAACAUGACGUGUAGAUAGAAGUGCUUUCAAUUUGGGAGAGGUGGCAGCCACCUGACAUGCCACUAUCUUUAAUGCGGUAUCUGAAGCAGGGAGUUUUGGUUUGUUAGGUUUAACGCCCAGCUUUCGCCUACAUCUUACAGCACCACAGUGGCAAUCUUG